CCUACGGGUGGCAGCAGUGAGGAAUAUUGGUCAAUGGGCGCGAGCCUGAACCAGCCAAGUAGCGUGAAGGAUGACUGCCCUACGGGUUGUAAACUUCUUUUAUAAAGGAGUAAAGUGAGGCACGUGUGCCUUUUUGUAUGUACUUUAUGAAUAAGGAUCGGCUAACUCCGUGCCAGCAGCCGCGGUAAUACGGAGGAUCCGAGCGUUAUCCGGAUUUAUUGGGUUUAAAGGGAGCGUAGAUGGGUUGUUAAGUCAGUUGUGAAAGUUUGCGGCUCAACCGUAAAAUUGCAAUUGAUACUGGCAGUCUUGAGUACAGUUGAGGGAGGCGGAAUUCGUGGUGUAGCGGUGAAAUGCGUAGAUAUCACGAAGAACUCCGAUUGCGAAGGCAGCUUACUAAACUGCCACUGACAUUGAUGCUCGAAAGUGUGGGGAGCAAACAGGAUUAGAUACCCCAGUAGUC
rnacentral:rRNA from 1 species